rnacentral:rRNA from 1 species
GAUGAACGCUGGCGGCGUGCCUAAUACAUGCAAGUCGAGCGAACAGAUAAGGAGCUUGCUCCUUUGACGUUAGCGGCGGACGGGUGAGUAACACGUGGGUAACCUACCUAUAAGACUGGAAUAACUCCGGGAAACCGGGGCUAAUGCCGGAUAACAUUUAGAACCGCAUGGUUCUAAAGUGAAAGAUGGUUUUGCUAUCACUUAUAGAUGGACCCGCGCCGUAUUAGCUAGUUGGUAAGGUAACGGCUUACCAAGGCAACGAUACGUAGCCGACCUGAGAGGGUGAUCGGCCACACUGGAACUGAGACACGGUCCAGACUCCUACGGGAGGCAGCAGUAGGGAAUCUUCCGCAAUGGGCGAAAGCCUGACGGAGCAACGCCGCGUGAGUUAUGAAGGUCUUCGGAUCGUAAAACUCUGUUAUUAGGGAAGAACAAAUGUGUAAGUAACUGUGCACGUCUUGACGGUACCUAAUCAGAAAGCCACGGCUAACUACGUG